GAGAGUCAAAGAGACCGCGAAACCGUUGGGAGGGAAACGAAUGCGGCCAUAAAGACUACCUUCGGGUUCAGGGCGUCUCGGUUUAGGCGUUGUCACUGGGGAGAACCCGCUUCGGGUCUGUCCAGGGCAAGCUCGMCGAGGCUUCCGCACUCCCGUUUGUAGUCCGCCAACGGCGGUCACUCGCGGUCCAACAGGGUCGUGGGGUUAGGUGCCUCCGGAGUCGGCAUCCUUUGGGUUGUCGAAGCGGGAGAACUUAGAGCCCUCGGCUCGGAGAUUGCGUGUGUCCGAGGAGCGCUUGCGACCAGUUCGCACGGUGUAGCGCAGGCCCUCCUGGGCCGGGUCGCUCUUGGGCCUGCGUGCUUCGCGGCGUGCUACUGCAUGCAGUGGCCGUUGACGAUCACGCGCGCUCGCCCGGGAGGUCGGCCACGAUGUGCGCUGUAGUCGUUGGUGUACGCAUGGCUCCAUCCGACCCGUCU
rnacentral:rRNA from 1 species